AGGUAAGCUACUAAGAGCGAAUGGUGGAUGCCUUGACUGGUAAAGGCGAUGAAGGACGUACUAGACUGCGAUAAGCUACGGGGAGCUGUCAAGAAGCUUUGAUCCGUAGAUUUCCGAAUGGGGCAACCCAAUGUAUAGAGAUAUACAUUACCUAUAUAGGAGCGAACGAGGGGAAUUGAAACAUCUUAGUACCCUCAGGAAAAGAAAUCAAUAGAGAUU
rnacentral:rRNA from 1 species